ACAGCAUGUUUGGUUGGGGGCUUAUGAAUAAAUUCCAGCCCAAUUCGGUGGGCCACCACCAAACAUUAGUUUGGUUGGCUGUAAUAACAUUACAGCCUGAAUCUAUUCAGGGUGUAUUACAGGGAAAGAUUGAAUAGCCAUUCUCUUCCCUCACCAUUGAAUAGCUAUUCAUUCCCAUGCAAACUAAAAAAAAAAAAAUUGCCCUUUUCAAUUUUUGCCCUCACCACUAUCUAGAGAAUGAAGAAGCACUACAACCAUCAUCUUCUCCCUCAGUUCACUGGUAAAUUUUUUUUCAAGCUUAGCUCUUGUUUUUCCAUUUUGUGUUAGUACCGGUGCCAUUUGUGGUUUCAUUUUCUCUCAAAUUACAGUUCUUGUGUUAGUGCCGACGCCAUUUGUGGUUUAAUUUUCAAGCUAAGCUCUUGUUUUUCCAUUUUGCAUAGAUUCAAGAUAUAGGUAAUCUCAAAGAGGCAUUGAAAUUUUUUCAAGCAAUGCAAAACAGUGGGUUGGAACUUGAUAUUGUCUCAUAUACUAUUCUAAUUAAUGGGUUGUGCAAAGCUGGGCAUAUUGAAGUUGCCAAGGAAUUAUUUCGUCAACUCUCAGAUAGUGGUUUAAAACCGAAUGUUUACAAAUACGAUGUAAUGAUUAAUGGACUGUGUAAAGAGGGAUUGCCAGAUGAAGCAUACAGGUUUUUUGGGAGCAUGGGAGAUAAUGACUGUUCGCCUAAUAGUUGCUGUUAUAAUGUAAUGAUUCGGGGGUUACUUCGAAACAAUUAUACCUCAAAGGCAAUGCAACUUCUUAUGAAAAUGGUUGGCAAGGGCUUUUCUGUAGAUGUAUUCACUACCAACUUAUUUAUGGAUCUCAUCGUACAUUCUAAUAAAUUAAUCUUGCUUUGAAAUGUUUCACAAAUUGUGUAAAGAUCAUCACUUGUAAAUGUGAAUCAGUUUUUACAUAACUAUUGUACAGUUAUAAAAGAUUCUGGAAACUAGAA